AAGGUGCACCCGAGAGGGGAAACCGAUGGGAAAGGAGUUAAUAUUCUUGUACCAGCUUAUGCUGCGAUGGGGUGACGGAGUAGUGAAAGUCCUGCGUACGGACGGAAGUGUACGUUAAAGGGCGUAGUUUAUGAGAGGGCCAGGCAAAUCCAGUCCUUGAGAUGAAACCCGAUAGUACCGCGAUCUUUUAAGAGAGCGGAUAAUGGACCUAAUCAUACUUCCAAGAAAAACCUCUAAGCUUCAGGCAUAAGCUGCCCGUACCGCAAACCGACACAGGUAGUCGAGGAGAGUAUCCUCAGGCGCUCGAGUGAUUCACGGCUAAGGAACUCGGCAAAAUAGACCCGUAACUUCGGGAGAAGGGUCGCCCCGCGCAAGCGGGGCCGCAGUAAAAAGGCUCAGGCGACUGUUUAGCAAAAACACAGGGCUCUGCAAAAUCGAAAGAUGAAGUAUAGGGCCUGACACCUGCCCGGUGCUGGAAGGUUAAGGAAGCUUGUUAGUGGGAAACUGCGAAGCUUGUAACUGAAGCCCCAGUAAACGGCGGCCGUAACUAUAACGGUCCUAAGGUAGCGAAAUUCCUUGUCGGGUAAGUUCCGACCUGCACGAAUGGUGUAACGAUCUGAGCACUGUCUCGGCCGUGAGCUCGGUGAAAUUGUAGCCCCGGUGAAGAUGCCGGGUACCCGCAACGGGACGGAAAGACCCCGUGAACCUUCACUAUAGCUUUGCAUUGGUUUUGAGUAAAUAAUGUGUAGGAUAGGUGGGAGGCUGCGAAGCAGGCACGCUAGUGUUUGUGGAGCCGUCCUUGAAAUACCACCCUUUAUUUACUUAGAGUCUAACUCUUUGAAAGAGGACAGUGCAUGGUGGGUAGUUUGACUGGGGUGGUCGCCUCCAAAAGAGUAACGGAGGCUUUCAAAGGUACCCUCAGCACGCUUGGUAACCGUGCGUAGAGCGCAAUAGUAUAAGGGUGCUUGACUGUAAGACCGACGGGUCAAGCAGGUAGGAAACUAGGAUAUAGUGAUCCGGUGGUUCCGUAUGGAAGGGCCAUCGCUCAUAGGAUAAAAGGUACUCCGGGGAUAACAGGCUGAUCCUACCCAAGAGCUCAUAUCGACGGUAGGGUUUGGCACCUCGAUGUCGGCUCGUCACAUCCUGGGGCUGGAGAAGGUCCCAAGGGUUGGGCUGUUCGCCCAUUAAAGUGGCACGCGAGCUGGGUUCAGAACGUCGCAAGACAGUUCGGUCCCUAUCUGUUGUGGGCGUUUGAGAUUUGAGGAGAUCUGACUCUAGUACGAGAGGACCGGGUCGGACUGACCACUAGUGUACCUGUUAUGGCGCCAGCUGUAUCGCAGGGUAGCUAUGUCGGGAAUGGAUAAGCGCUGAAAGCAUCUAAGCACGAAACCAACUCCAAGAUUAGAUCUCGUAGGGCUGUGGAAGAUUACCACGUUGAUAGGCUACAGGUGUAAAGGCAGUAAUGUCAUAGCCGAGUAGUACUAAUUGCCCGUAAGCUUU
rnacentral:rRNA from 1 species